rnacentral:rRNA from 1 species
UUGGUGCCGUUCGGGAACUCUGACACAGGUGCUGCAUGGCUGUCGUCAGCUCGUGUCGUGAGAUGGUUGGGUUAACGUCCCGUAACGAGCGCCAACCCUUGUCCUUAGUUACCAGCACGUUAUGGUGGGCACUCUAAGGAGACUGCCGGUGACAAACCGGAGGAAGGUGGGGAUGACGUCGAGUCAUCAUGGCCCUUACGGCCUGGGCUACACACGUGCUACAAUGGUCGGUACAAAGGGUUGCCAAGCCGCGAGGUGGAGCUAAUCCCAUAAAACCGAUCGUAGUCCGGAUCGCAGUCUGCAACUCGACUGCGUGAAGUCGGAAUCGCUAGUAAUCGUGAAUCAGAAUGUCACGGUGAAUACGUUCCCGGGCCUU